UACGGGGGGGAGCAAGCGUUGUUCGGAUUUACUGGGCGUAAAGGGCGGGUAGGCGGCCACCGCAAGUCAGUUGUGAAAUCUCUGGGCUUAACCCAGAAAGGUCAACUGAUACUGCGGGGCUAGAGUGCAGAAGGGGCAACUGGAAUUCUCGGUGUAGCGGUGGAAAUGCGUAGAUAUCGAGAGGAACACCUGCGGCGAAGGCGGGUUGCUGGGCUGACACUGACGCUGAACUGCGAAAGCUAGGGGAGCGAACGGG
rnacentral:rRNA from 1 species